rnacentral:rRNA from 1 species
UACGAAGGGGGCUAGCGUUGUUCGGAAUCACUGGGCGUAAAGGGCGCGUAGGCGGCUUUAUAAGUCGGGGGUGAAAGCCUGUGGCUCAACCACAGAAUUGCCUUCGAUACUGUAGAGCUUGAGACCGGAAGAGGUAAGUGGAACUGCGAGUGUAGAGGUGAAAUUCGUAGAUAUUCGCAAGAACACCAAUGGCGAAAGCAGCUUUCUGGGACGGUACUGACGCUGAGACGCGAAAGCGUGGGGAGCGAACAGG